AGUAAUGCGUGACCAACCUGCCCCAUGCUCCAGAAUAGCUCUUGGAAACGUGUGGUAAUGCUGGAUGCUCCAACUUGACGCAUGUCUUGUUGGGAAAGUGUUUAGUGGCAUGGGAUGGGGUCGCGUCCUAUCAGCUUGUAGGCGGGGUAAUGGCCCACCUAGGCUUCGACGGGUAGCCGGCCUGAGAGGGCGGACGGCCACAUUGGGACUGAGAUACGGCCCAGACUCCUACGGGAGGCAGCAGCA
rnacentral:rRNA from 1 species